rnacentral:rRNA from 3 species
CGCUGGCGGCGUGCCUAAUACAUGCAAGUCGAACGAGUUCUGAUUAUUGAAAGGUGCUUGCAUCUUGAUUUAAUUUUGAACGAGUGGCGGACGGGUGAGUAACACGUGGGUAACCUGCCCUUAAGUGGGGGAUAACAUUUGGAAACAGAUGCUAAUACCGCAUAAAUCCAAGAACCGCAUGGUUCUUGGCUGAAAGAUGGCGUAAGCUAUCGCUUUUGGAUGGACCCGCGGCGUAUUAGCUAGUUGGUGAGGUAACGGCUCACCAAGGCAAUGAUACGUAGCCGAACUGAGAGGUUGAUCGGCCACAUUGGGACUGAGACACGGCCCAAACUCCUACGGGAGGCAGCAGUAGGGAAUCUUCCACAAUGGACGCAAGUCUGAUGGAGCAACGCCGCGUGAGUGAAGAAGGCUUUCGGGUCGUAAAACUCUGUUGUUGGAGAAGAAUGGUCGGCAGAGUAACUGUUGUCGGCGUGACGGUAUCCAACCAGAAAGCCACGGCUAACUACGUGCCAGCAGCCGCGGUAAUACGUAGGUGGCAAGCGUUAUCCGGAUUUAUUGGGCGUAAAGCGAGCGCAGGCGGUUUUUUAAGUCUGAUGUGAAAGCCCUCGGCUUAACCGAGGAAGUGCAUCGGAAACUGGRAAACUUGAGUGCAGAAGAGGACAGUGGAACUCCAUGUGUAGCGGUGAAAUGCGUAGAUAUAUGGAAGAACACCAGUGGCGAAGGCGGCUGUCUGGUCUGUAACUGACGCUGAGGCUCGAAAGCAUGGGUAGCGAACAGGAUUAGAUACCCUGGUAGUCCAUGCCGUAAACGAUGAAUGCUAGGUGUUGGAGGGUUUCCGCCCUUC